rnacentral:rRNA from 1 species
GGCCUAACACAUGCAAGUCGAACGGUAACAGGAAGCAGCUUGCUGCUUUGCUGACGAGUGGCGGACGGGUGAGUAAUGUCUGGGAAACUGCCUGAUGGAGGGGGGAUAACUACUGGAAACGGUAGCUAAUACCGCAUAACGUCGCAAGACCAAAGAGGGGGACCUUCGGGCCUCUUGCCAUCGGAUGUGCCCAGAUGGGAUUAGCUAGUAGGUGGGGUAACGGCUCACCUAGGCGACGAUCCCUAGCUGGUCUGAGAGGAUGACCAGCCACACUGGAACUGAGACACGGUCCAGACCUCUACGGGAGGCAGCAGUGGGGAAUAUUGCACAAUGGGCGCAAGCCUGAUGCAGCCAUGCCGCGUGUAUGAAGAAGGCCUUCGGGUUGUAAAGUACUUUCAGCGGGGAGGAAGGCGAUAAGGUUAAUAACCUUGUCGAUUGACGUUACCCGCAGAAGAAGCACCGGCUAACUCCGUGCCAGCAGCCGCGGUAAUACGGAGGGUGCAAGCGUUAAUCGGAAUUACUGGGCGUAAAGCGCACGCAGGCGGUCUGUCAAGUCGGAUGUGAAAUCCCCGGGCUCAACCUGGGAACUGCAUUCGAAACUGGCAGGCUAGAGUCUUGUAGAGGGGGGUAGAAUUCCAGGUGUAGCGGUGAAAUGCGUAGAGAUCUGGAGGAAUACCGGUGG